rnacentral:sRNA from 1 species
UAAUAAAAAAAUAUGAAAGAGAGUGGAGAGAAUCUCUCAAGCGAAAAACUCUGAAAAACCCAUAAAAAUACGUGUAUAUCAACUAUUAGGUAAAUUUU